rnacentral:lncRNA from 7 species
UCCUUGCUUGCUCAUCUGGCCAUUGUCAAGGCAGCUGUCAUCCGGGAGCCCUGGAGCUGCAAUGCAGAACUGAAGGAUUCAGAAUAACAGUUCAACAAAUCAAGUCAACAAACAGGGAUCCACUUUAAGUCUCAUUUGCAGAGUUUCCCUUUCGCUAUCUGGAACCUGAAGCAGUAGAUUAAUGAGAGAGGCUGGGAAGGUGCCACCUUGUAAGGAGCUGCAUGGAAACGAACCACUUAAAAGGCACAAACAAGUUUUAUUGCAACUGUCAAACCUAGGAACCAAGAGGACAAAACACCACUCCUAUUCACAAUGAAGGAGCCACCUCCGAUAGCAAGGCUUUGCCACCACCGCGGGACACCGAGUGCCGUGAGCGGUGCUGAACUGAGCAAUGAGGAGGAGAUGGCUGCACACAUAGCAUGGAAGCUUUGACUUUAUGGUGUCUCCAACUCAGAAAAGCCUGCUUGUGGACCCAAAGCCCAGAGGAGAUACUUGCUAUAACUGCCUAUAAAAGGAGAAUGUGGAUUGAUGCAAACUCCACUGACAUGGAUGGGAUUCUUUCUUUGUGAUUCAGUGAGCUUUGGAUCAGUUCUGGAGAAGGAAAUUGAACAGUUAUCAAGCAAAUCUAGUCUUACAUAAACAAAAAUGCCUCCUACAAAAUCCAGAGGGCAUGCUGUCAUCCAGCACAAGUCUCACCUAUCAAAAAGGAAAAACGUACUGAACUGAGGGAUCCAGCAUGGAACGAGAUGACAGGUGAGGCACAGCAACACAAAUAGGCAGCAGUGAAUUGGACAAAUCUGCCACCUGCAAGCAGAGAGCAUGAGCUCAGCUAGUGCAAGAAUCUGGUGGCUCUGUGCUGCCCUGCUGGAAGGUCUCCUGACGCCUCCGGACUCCUGCUUCCCUGUAACCACUCCAGUCUCUUCCUGUCACAAUGAAAUCAUUCCUGCUGCAGUGAAGGGAUUAAUUAGGUCUACCAGUACUUCACUACCCUCAAUCCUAACUGAAAAUCAGACAGCUUUUCCUGUUUCGCACGUCUGUGCUCAGAGAUGUGACUGACCUAACGCUUGGCACCUUAGAAAAAUCAUGCCCCAGUGUGGAUCAAGACUCAGGAAACAAAUCCUCUCCAUAACUGCGCAGAGCAGGGCAUAAGCUAAUGCCAGAAUGAUGUGAUGCUUGACGCUUUGACCUUGCUUUCUGUGCAAGACUCUCCAAGCUUCAUACCACUGGGAGCGCAUCAUUUGUGACGAGCAAAAAAGUCAGAGCAACUGGUUCUUAAAAGAUUUGUCAUAGUUUUGCUUUAAAAAUAAUUCAUCUCAUAGCUGAAUUCAGUAUUUUGGGUCAGUUAUAAUUGAAUCUGCUCAGACAGAGAAGUUAUAUGAGACUAAUUACCUACUGUCUCUACUCGAAGUAAAUAUUAAAGGC